rnacentral:rRNA from 1 species
GGGGGCCCGCACAAGCGGUGGAGCAUGUGGUUUAAUUCGAUGAUACGCGAGGAACCUUACCAAGACUUAAAUGGGAAAUGACAGAUUUAGAAAUAGAUCCUUCUUCGGACAUUUUUCAAGGUGCUGCAUGGUUGUCGUCAGCUCGUGCCGUGAGGUGUUAGGUUAAGUCCUGCAACGAGCGCAACCCCUGUGCACUAGUUGCUAACAUUAAGUUGAGGACUCUAGUGAGACUCUACGCAAGUAGAGAGGAAGGUGGGAUGACGUAAAUCAUCACGGCCCUUACGUCUUGGGCCACACACGUGCUACAAUGGCCGGUACAGAGGGCAGCUACCUAGUGAUAGGAUGCAAAUCUCGAAAGCCGGUCUCAGUUCGGAUUGGAGUCUGCAACUCGACUCUAUGAAGCUGGAAUCGCUAGUAAUCCGCGAUCAGCCAUGGCGCGGUGAAUACGU